rnacentral:lncRNA from 1 species
GGCGGUGGCUGCGGCGGUUGGCGCUGCGUAGCUGAGGUCGAAAAGGCGGCCACUGGGGCCGAGGCAGCCAGGAAACGUGUGGGCCUCUCUGCUGCGGUCUCCGAGGGCCGACCGCUGCCGGCGGCGGGUCGUGGGGGCUGACUGUCGCUCUGCCUUUGACAGGAGAGGCUGCUUCUUGUAGAGGAAACAGCUUUGAAGUGUGGAGCGGGAAAGGAGCAGUUUCUGAGCUGCAAAAACUAGUUUCUAAACAGCUAGCACCCUUUCAACCUGUACAAUUCCACAGCUAGUGGAAAUCCAAAGUCUUCUGCAAGAUUAUGCAGAAAUCUUACUUUCUGAUGAUCAUCUCUGCCUUUGAACCUCUACUUCCACCAUUGCUGCUGCUUUUUCUCAUCUCUUUGACCCAGAGAGUUAAUUGUUAAAUCCAGUAUGGCCACAGGAGGAGGUCCCUUUGAAGAUGGCAUGAAUGAUCAGGAUUUACCAAACUGGAGUAAUGAGAAUGUUGAUGACAGGCUCAACAAUAUGGAUUGGGGUGCCCAACAGAAGAAAGCAAAUAGAUCAUCAGAAAAGAAUAAGAAAAAGUUUGGUGUAGAAAGUGAUAAAAGAGUAACCAAUGAUAUUUCUCCGGAGUCGUCACCAGGAGUUGGAAGGCGAAGAACAAAGACUCCACAUACGUUCCCACACAGUAGAUACAUGAGUCAGAUGUCUGUCCC